UACGUAGGGUGCAAGCGUUAUCCGGAAUUAUUGGGCGUAAAGAGCUCGUAGGCGGCUUGUCGCGUCGAAUGUGAAAACCUGCAGCUCAACUGCAGGCUUGCAUUCGAUAACGGGCAGGCGUCGAGUUCGGUGAGGGAGACGUGGAAUUCCUGGAUGUAGCGGUGAAAUGACGCCAGAUAGUCAGGAGGAACACCGGUGGCGAAGCGGGUCUCUGGGCCGAUACUGACGCUGGAGGAGCGAAAGCGUGGGGAGCGAACAGG
rnacentral:rRNA from 1 species